UACGUAGGGGGCAAGCGUUGUCCGGAUUUAUUGGGCGUAAAGAGCGUGUAGGCGGCCAUGUAGGUCCGUUGUGAAAACUCGAGGCUCAACCUCGAGACGCCGAUGGAAACCAUGCGGCUAGAGUCCGGAAGAGGAGAGUGGAAUUCCUGGUGUAGCGGUGAAAUGCGCAGAUAUCAGGAAGAACACCCGUGGCUAAGGCGGCUCUCUAGUACGGUACUGACACUGAGACGCGAAAGCGUGGGGAGCGAACAGG
rnacentral:rRNA from 1 species